UAAAAUCUUCAAAAAAGUGGUCCAGGAAAAAAUCAGGGAUAAAAGAAAAAGAAAAAAAAUAAAGCAAAAAAGAGAUCGUGUAAAUCCUCAGCAAAAACAAAACAAGAUUAGGUGACCGCCAUAUCAAGAAUCAAUGGGUCACUGACAUCCUUGACAAAACCAAGAAAAGGUGACUGCCAUCUUGAAUCUUCAUCUUUAUCUUUAC
rnacentral:lncRNA from 1 species